GAUGAACGCUAGCUACAGGCUUAACACAUGCAAGUCGAGGGGCAGCAUACUCUUAGCUUGCUAAGGCCGAUGGCGACCGGCGCACGGGUGAGUAACGCGUAUCCAACCUGCCUUACACUCUUGGACAGCCUUCUGAAAGGGAGAUUAAUACAAGAUGUUAUCAUGAGUAAGCAUUUUCGCAUGAUUAAAGGUUUACCGGUGUAAGAUGGGGAUGCGUUCCAUUAGAUAGUAGGCGGGGUAACGGCCCACCUAGUCUUCGAUGGAUAGGGGUUCUGAGAGGAAGGUCCCCCACAUUGGAACUGAGACACGGUCCAAACUCCUACGGGAGGCAGCAGUGAGGAAUAUUGGUCAAUGGACGAGAGUCUGAACCAGGCAAGUAGCGUGAAGGAUGAAGGUUCUAUGGAUUGUAAACUUCUUUUAUACGGGAAUAAACGAAUCCACGUGUGGAUUUUUGCAUGUACCGUAUGAAUAAGGAUCGGCUAACUCCGUGCCAGCAGCCGCGGUAAUACGGAGGAUCCGAGCGUUAUCCGGAUCUAUUGGGUUUAAAGGGAGCGUAGAUGGGUUGUUAAGUCAGUUGUGAAAGUUUGCGGCUCAACCGUAAAAUUGCAAUUGAUACUGGCAGUCUUGAGUACAGUUGAGGUAGGCGGAAUUCGUGGUGUAGCGGUGAAAUGCUUAGAUAUCACGAAGAACUCCGAUUGCGAAGGCAGCUUACUAACCUGUAACUGACAUUGAUGCUCGAAAGUGUGGGUAUCAAACAGGAUUAGAUACCCUGGUAGUCCACACGGUAAACGAUGAAUACUCGCUGUAGGCGAUAUACAGUCUGCGGCCAAGCGAAAGCAUUAAGUAUUCCACCUGGGGAGUACGCCGGCAACGGUGAAACUCAAAGGAAUUGACGGGGGCCCGCACAAGCGGAGGAACAUGUGGUUUAAUUCGAUGAUACGCGAGGAACCUUACCCGGGCUUAAAUUGCAACCGAAUAUGGCGGAAACGCUAUAGCUAGCAAUAGCGGUUGUGAAGGUGCUGCAUGGUUGUCGUCAGCUCGUGCCGUGAGGUGUCGGCUUAAGUGCCAUAACGAGCGCAACCCUUGCCGAUAGUUACUAACAGGUUAUGUUGAGGACUCUGUCGGGACUGCCAUCGUAAGAUGUGAGGAAGGUGGGGAUGACGUCAAAUCAGCACGGCCCUUACGUCCGGGGCUACACACGUGUUACAAUGGGGGGUACAGAGGGCUGCUACCACGCAAGUGGAUGCCAAUCCCAAAAACCUCUCUCAGUUCGGAUUGAAGUCUGCAACCCGACUUCAUGAAGCUGGAUUCGCUAGUAAUCGCGGAUCAGCAUGCCGCGGUGAAUACGUUCCCGGGC
rnacentral:rRNA from 1 species